GAAAAGNAUUAGAAAUACAGAAACU
rnacentral:tRNA from 1 species